UAGAGUGCGUCGGGGCAGAAGGAAUUCUGGUGUAGCGGUGAAAUGCGUAGAUAUCAGGAAGAACACCGGUGGCGAAAGCGUUCUGCUAGGCCGCAACUGACACUGAGGGACGAAAGCUAGGGGAGCGAAUGGGAUUAGAUACCCCAGUAGUCCUAGCCGUAAACGAUGGAUACUAGGUGUGGCUUGUAUCGACCCGAGCCGUACCGUAGCUAACGCGUUAAGUAUCCCGCCUGGGGAGUACGCACGCAAGUGUGAAACUCAAAGGAAUUGACGGGGGCCCGCACAAGCGGUGGAGUAUGUGGUUUAAUUCGAUGCAACGCGAAGAACCUUACCAAGACUUGACAUCCUGCGAAUCUCGGUGAAAGCUGAGAGUGCCUUAGGGAGCGCAGAGACAGGUGGUGCAUGGCUGUCGUCAGCUCGUGUCGUGAGAUGUUGGGUUAAGUCCCGCAACGAGCGCAACCCUCGUUUUUAGUUGCCAGCAUUAAGUAGGGCACUCUAGAGAGACUGCCGGUGACAAACCGGAGGAAGGUGAGGAUGACGUCAAGUCAGCAUGCCCCUUACGUCUUGGGCUACACACGUACUACAAUGCUACGGACAAAGGGCAGCAAGCUAGUGAUAGCAAGCGAAUCUCAUAAACCGUAGCUCAGUUCAGAUCGAAGGCUGCAACUCGCCUUCGUGAAGGAGGAAUCGCUAGUAAUUGCAGGUCAGCAUACUGCAGUGAAUUCGUUCCCGGGCCUUGUACACACCGCCCGUCACACCAUGGAAGUUGGUCACGCCCGAAGUCAUUACCCCAACCUUUGGGAGGGGGAUGCCUAAGGUAGGACUGGUGACUGGGGUGAAGUCGUAACAAGGUAGCCGUACCGGAAGGUGCGGCUGGAUCACCUCCUU
rnacentral:rRNA from 1 species